GAUGAAGAACGUAGUAAAAUGCGAUAAGUAAUGUGAAUUGCAGAAUUCAGUGAAUCAUCGAAUCUUUGAACGCACAUUGCGCCCGCCAGUAUUCUGGCGGGCAUGCCUGUUCGAGCGUCAUUUCAACCCUCAAGCACAGCUUGGUGUUGGGACUCGCGUUAAUUCGCGUUCCCCAAAUUGAUUGGCGGUCACGUCGAGCUUCCAUAGCGUAGUAGUAAAACCCUCGUUACUGGUAAUCGUCGCGGCCACGCCGUUAAACCCCAACUUCUGAAUGUUGACCUCGGAUCAGGUAGGAAUACCCGCUGAACUUAAGCAUAUCAAUAACGGAGGA
rnacentral:misc_RNA from 1 species